UACGAAGGGGGCUAGCGUUGCUCGGAAUCACUGGGCGUAAAGCGCACGUAGGCGGAUUCUUAAGUCAGGGGUGAAAUCCUGGAGCUCAACUCCAGAACUGCCUUUGAUACUGAGGGUCUUGAGUUCGGGAGAGGUGAGUGGAACUGCGAGUGUAGAGGUGAAAUUCGUAGAUAUUCGCAAGAACACCAGUGGCGAAGGCGGCUCACUGGACAAGUAUUGACGCUGAGGUGCGAAAGCGUGGGGAGCAAACAGG
rnacentral:rRNA from 1 species